GCAGCCUGGGUGACUGAGACAUUGACUCAAAAAAAAAACUUUUUUUUGCUUAUAAUUAUAUAUCUUUUUAGUUUUCUUCACAGGAAAAAAGCCAAUUCAGUAUUAAAAUGCUACCCAAGAUUGACGGCAAAUACAAAGAGGAAGUCUGCAUAUUCAAAUAGGCGAGACAAACUUUUGAAAAUAACAAUUAAAAAACCUAUAUCUCCACCUCUCUUUGCAAAUGGACCCUGGAAAUCUGCUGAUGGAGGAACCCAUUUCACUUAACAGCCAGUUUCUCUACAAUAGCUGACAGACAUCGCAUUUCAUUUGGUGACUGGUUGAACUUUAUAAACUCAGAUUUAUAAACUAGUGCCAUAAUUUUUGGGGGGAAUAAAGUUCUAUCAGUAAUGUAGCA
rnacentral:lncRNA from 13 species